rnacentral:misc_RNA from 1 species
UUUCCGUAGGUGAACCUGCGGAAGGAUCAUUUCCGAACAAAACAGAAAAUUACAAACCAACCAUGUGAACCGUUUUGGGUUUUUUCUUACUCUCCGAUUUAUUAGCGCUGCCCCUUUUUAUUAUUAUUGUAUGUAUAUCAUUCUAGCCAAUGAUAUAUAUAUAUAUAGAUAUAUAAGCGGGUUUUCUCUUUUAUUUCGGGGAGGCCAUUAUGAACUACCUUGUCACAAAGGUUGAUUGCUAUCGUUCUUGCUUAUCUUUUUUUUUUCCUUUUUUUUGAAAUACAAAAAAGAAAAAAGAAAUUCUCAAUGAUACGACAACUUUUAACGGUGGAUCUCUUGGCUCGU